rnacentral:lncRNA from 1 species
ACCCGCCUGGCCCAACAGUGACAGAGCAGGGCGCGCAGCCGCUGAGUGCUCUGGAGUCCCUGCCCCGAGGUGCCACGCCCACGUCGGCCUCACCCGGGCAGGCAUGGGGCGGUCGGGCUUAGCGCCGCACCCCGCCGGCCAGAGCCACCGUCUCUCCAGACGCGGCCCCAGCGCCCACUGGGGAUGGCAAAGACGACAUCCGGUGCGCCGAGGCUGCUCACAAAAUCUUCCCACACAGGUUGAGAGAGGAGGGGAUCCAAUUGCCUGUGAGGAGGACACGGCUCCUGGGUGGACCCUGCAGAUUGUGAAGUUCAAGUCACAGCUCCUGGGAAGGUCUCUGUGUGUAAAGAUCGUGGGGGUGAGACAGAUUCAGGGACCACACUCUGCUCUGCUCUGUACCUCUGAGUGUCGAUCCAGCUGCCUUGUGACCAGGACACUUAGAAGAAGCAUGGACCCUGCAAGAGGGCAGGUUUGGAGAGUGAGAUGAGCACGCUUGAGGGAUUAACGUGUAACUUGAACCACUGCCUCGCAAACUACGUGAGGGCGUGCAGAGACAGGGUAUCACCAGACUCCUGGGACCUCCGCCUCCCGGGAUGGUCUCCAUCUCCUGACCUCGUGAUCCGCCUGCCUCUGUCUCCCAAAGUGCUGGGAUUACAGGCCUGAGCCACCGCGCCCGGCCAGAUGGGCUCAAGGACAGCUUGCCUGACUGCAGCCAUAAGGAUGAAGCCUCUUCAGGUCAUUUGGCCAAUUUAAUGCCGACAGAAGAGGCCACCAUCUGAAUGUAAUUUAUCUCCUCUUUCAUCUCCUUUCAUUCCCCUCCUCCUUUUUUUUUUUUUUUUGGGACAGAGUCUCACUCUGUUGCCCAGGCUGGAGUGCAGUGGCGUGAUCUUGGCUCACUGCAAGCUCUGCCUCCCAGGUUCACGCCAUUCUCCUGCCUCAGCCUCCUGAGUAGCUGGGACUACAGGCACCCGCCACCACGCCCAGCUAAUUUUUUGUGUUUUUAGUAGAGACGAGGUUUAGCGUGUCUAUGUGACACCCCAGGAUUUUAGCAGAUACACAAGUGAAAAACCAUGUUGCUAAAAAGUAUUUCCCAUCUUCCAAUUUUCUUAUCAUCAUCUUGGAAAUAAAAUCUGUACGUACUUGGGAAUAAAAUUUAUUGAAUUAUCAAAAAUAUGUAUGCUAAUGUAUGUGAGUCAUUAGCUAUAUCCACAUUGACAUAAAAUUUGUGAAGACUCUUCAAAAUCUCUUAAAGAUUUAUUUGGCUGGGCGCGGUGGCUCACGCCUGUAAUCCCAGCAGUUUGGGAGGCUGAGGCAGGCGGAUCAUGAGGUCAGGAGAUGGAGACCAUCCUGGCUAACACGGUGAAACCCCGUCUCUACUAAAAAUACAAAAAACUAGCUGGGCGUGGUGGCGCGCGCCUGUAGUCCCAGCUACUCGGGAGGCUGAGGCAGGAGAAUGGCGUGAACCCGGGAGGCGGAGCUCGGA